CAUGCAAGUCGAGCGGAUGAGUGGAGCUUGCUCCAUGAUUCAGCGGCGGACGGGUGAGUAAUGCCUAGGAAUCUGCCUGGUAGUGGGGGACAACGUUUCGAAAGGAACGCUAAUACCGCAUACGUCCUACGGGAGAAAGUGGGGGAUCUUCGGACCUCACGCUAUCAGAUGAGCCUAGGUCGGAUUAGCUAGUUGGUGAGGUAAAGGCUCACCAAGGCGACGAUCCGUAACUGGUCUGAGAGGAUGAUCAGUCACACUGGAACUGAGACACGGUCCAGACUCCUACGGGAGGCAGCAGUGGGGAAUAUUGGACAAUGGGCGAAAGCCUGAUCCAGCCAUGCCGCGUGUGUGAAGAAGGUCUUCGGAUUGUAAAGCACUUUAAGUUGGGAGGAAGGGCAGUAAGUUAAUACCUUGCUGUUUUGACGUUACCAACAGAAUAAGCACCGGCUAACUUCGUGCCAGCAGCCGCGGUAAUACGAAGGGUGCAAGCGUUAAUCGGAAUUACUGGGCGUAAAGCGCGCGUAGGUGGUUCGUUAAGUUGGAUGUGAAAGCCCCGGGCUCAACCUGGGAACUGCAUCCAAAACUGGCGAGCUAGAGUAUGGCAGAGGGUGGUGGAAUUUCCUGUGUAGCGGUGAAAUGCGUAGAUAUAGGAAGGAACACCAGUGGCGAAGGCGACCACCUGGGCUAAUACUGACACUGAGGUGCGAAAGCGUGUGGAGCAAACAGGAUUAGAUACCCUGGUAGUCCACGCCGUAAACGAUGUCGACUAGCCGUUGGGAUCCUUGAGAUCUUAGUGGCGCAGCUAACGCAUUAAGUCGACCGCCUGGGGAGUACGGCCGCAAGGUUAAAACUCAAAUGAUGACGGC
rnacentral:rRNA from 2 species